rnacentral:rRNA from 1 species
CCUUAGAUGUUCUGGGCUGCACGCGCGUUACACUGACGGAGCCAGCGAGUACUUCCUUGACCGAGAGGUCCGGGUAAUCUUGUUAAACUCCGUCGUGCUGGGGAUAGAGCAUUGCAAUUAUUGCUCUUCAACGAGGAAUCCCUAGUAAGCGCAAGUCAUCAGCUUGCGUUGAUUACGUCCCUGCCCUUUGUACACACCGCCCGUCGCUACUACCGAUUGAAUGGCUCAGUGAGGCGUUCGGACUGGCCCAGAGAGGUGGGCAACUACCACUCAGGGCCGGAAAGUUCUACAAACUCGGUCAUUUAGAGGAAGUAAAAGUCGUAACAAGGUCUCCGUUGGUGAACCAGCGGAGGGAUCAUUACUGAGUUUACAACUCCCAAACCCAAUGUGAACAUACCUAUCGUUGCUUCGGCGGGAACGCCCCGGCGCGACCUCACGGUCUUGCCCGGAACCAGGCGCCCGCCGGAGAACCCAAACUCUUGAUUUCCCGCACAGCGGCAGUAAUUUUCUGAGUAUAAACGCAAAAUAAAUUAAAACUUUCAACAACGGAUCUCUUGGCUCUGGCAUCGAUGAAGAACGCAGCGAAAUGCGAUAAGUAAUGUGAAUUGCAGAAUUCAGUGAAUCAUCGAAUCUUUGAACGCACAUUGCGCCCGCUAGCACUCUAGCGGGCAUGCCUGUCCGAGCGUCAUUUCAACCCUCAGACCCCCUUCGGGGGGACUGGUGUUGGGGAUCGGCCCGCCCUGGCGCGGCGCCGUCCCCUAAAUCUAGUGGCGGUCUCGCUGCAGCCUCCCCUGCGUAGUAGCACACCUCGCAUUGGAGAGCGGCGCGGCCAUGCCGUUAAACCCCCAACUUCUGAACGUUGACCUCGGAUCAGGUAGGAAUACCCGCUGAACUUAAGCAUAUCAAUAAGCGGAGGAAAAGAAACCAACAGGGAUUGCCUCAGUAACGGCGAGUGAAGCGGCAACAGCUCAAAUUUGAAAUCUGGCCCUAGGCCCGAGUUGUAAUUUGCAGAGGAUGCUUUUGAUGAGGUACCUUCCGAGUCCCUUGGAACAGGGCGCCAUAGAGGGUGAGAGCCCCGUCUGGUUGGAUACCGAAUCUCUGUAAAGCUCCUUCGACGAGUCGAGUAGUUUGGGAAUGCUGCUCUAAAUGGGAGGUAUAUGUCUUCUAAAGCUAAAUACCGGCCAGAGACCGAUAGCGCACAAGUAGAGUGAUCGAAAGAUGAAAAGCACUUUGGAAAGAGAGUUAAACAGCACGUGAAAUUGUUGAAAGGGAAGCGUUUACGACCAGACUUAGGCUCGGUUGAUCAAUCAGCGUUCUCGCUGGUGCACUCUGCCGGCCUAGGCCAGCAUCAGUUCGUCUCGGGGGAUAAAGGCGUCGGGAAUGUAGCUCCCUCGGGAGUGUUAUAGCCCUUCGUGCAAUACCCUGAGGUGGACUGAGGUUCGCGCUCUGCAAGGAUGCUGGCGUAAUGGUCGUCAACGACCCGUCU